rnacentral:rRNA from 1 species
AUGAACUAUGGACUUCACUAUACCGGAUACCCGUCGGUACUUGAAGGGUAUAGUGAUGCGAAUUGGAUCUCUGAUGCUGAUGAGAUGAAGGCCACAACUGGGUAUAUGUUUACUCUUGGAGGUGGCGCUGUUUCCUGGAAGUCUUGCAAGCAAACGAUCUUAACGAGAUCGAAAAUGGAAGCAGAAUUAACGACAUUAGACACAUCUGGUGUUGAAGCGAGAUGGCUUCGAGAUCUUUUAAUGGACUUGCCAUUGGUUGAUAAACCGGUUCCGGCUAUCCUUAUGAACUGUGACAAUCAGACUGUCAUCACCAAGGUGAAGAGUUCAAAGGACAACAUGAAGUCCACCAAACACAUAAGAAUGAGAUUAAAAGCUGUCAGAAAAUUAAGAAACUCCGGAGUGAUAGCGUUGGACUAUGUCCAUACAGCUAAGAAUCUGGCAGAUCCCUUUACAAAAGGGCUAUCACGUGUUGUGAUAGAUAAUGCAUCGAGGGAGAUGGGUAUGAGACCCACAUGA